rnacentral:lncRNA from 1 species
UAAACUGCUCGCAAGAACAAAUUAUUUGCCAUUAAAGCAGUUUCUUUUUAGAAUGCAUAUGUCCGAAGACAACCUUUGUCCUAUUUGUGAUUCAGGGGAGUCAGAAGAUUUAGAACAUUUUCUGCUCGGGUGUACAUCUCUUGAACAAACCAGGUCUAAAUUUUUCACCUUAUUUGCCUCUUUUAAUAAUAGAAAUGUAAGUUUUCUGGAACUGUCGCCACGUGCACAAGUAUUAUUUUUAGUUGGCGAUAUUGGUUAUGCUUUUAACGAUGAAAUUGGUUCAUUUUAUGAUGUUUAUGGUAGAAUGUAUCUCUUAGAAUUAUUUAGAUUACGUCAAACUAUGGUUGAACCAAAAUAACCUUUGAGUUACUUACUCGUAUGUACUAUUAUAUAUUGAUCUUAGUUUUUAUGGGUUAUACAUGCUGCAUGGUCAUAUUUGUCUAUGAGUGUUUUAAAUUUCAUGUAUAUUUUAACAUUCUAUAAAUCGUCUUUUUUAUUAUGAUUAUGUACUAGUAUUUUAGAAAUCUCUAUUUUUGUCUUAUUAAUGUGCCAUGUAUGUUAUUGUUUCAAAGACAUUUUAGAAUGAAACCAUUAACUAUAAUGUAUAUAAUUGUAAAUAAUAUAGUAUAGACGCACCAUCACUUCUACCCUGAUGACUGGUGCCCCCGAUGUAAAGGGGUAGUUUUCUAAAUAAAAUAUAUAUAUAUAUU